rfam:Brassica napus, WGS project CCCW01000000 data, contig: 5665
UUGAUGCCUGUGAUGGUGUUAAAUAUACUUUGAGAGAAUAAUCUCUAGGAAAAAGAAAUAAAAUCUGAGGCUUUAC